ensembl:lncRNA
AUAAUAUUCAGAUAGAGACAGAACCUGAUAGAAUGGAGCUGCUAUGAGGGCUGCACAGCGAUGCUGUAAACGGGUGUUUUACUGGAUUUCAACACUCCUGAAACACAUCAGAAGCCAGGACUGCAACUUCAGUCAAUCCAUUUUGACAAGAGCAAUUCAUCUGCACAUCCGGACACUUCGCCAGUGAGCUGUCUAGGGACCAUCUCGCUGUGUCUACAUGCUGUGGGUGAGUUUAGUUCAGGACCUUUGACCUGAGGUCUUUCCUGCUCUGGGUCACUUGUCCUCAGGAUGCUCCUCUUUCAGACGCUGGGAUGCAUUUCUCUCAUUCACUUAUGCAAUGCCAGCAGGAGGUCUGUCUAAAUCACAUUCAUCCUAGUCUUGCUUAUUCCAUAGGUCACUGCAUGAGAUAAGUAAACAAAUGUUUAUUUAUUUGAUUGUAUGUUGUUGAGUCAUAGUAUGAGCUGUGGCCUAACAAUCAACCCAACCUUGUUCCCCCUUUUCACAUA